rnacentral:rRNA from 1 species
AUUGAACGCUGGCGGCAUGCCUUACACAUGCAAGUCGAACGGCAGCACGGGAGCAAUCCUGGUGGCGAGUGGCGAACGGGUGAGUAAUAUAUCGGAACGUGCCCAGUCGUGGGGGAUAACGUAGCGAAAGCUACGCUAAUACCGCAUACGAUCUACGGAUGAAAGCGGGGGACUCGCAAGAGCCUCGCGCGAUUGGAGCGGCCGAUAUCAGAUUAGGUUGUUGGUGAGGUAAAAGCUCACCAAGCCUGCGAUCUGUAGCUGGUCUGAGAGGACGACCAGCCACACUGGAACUGAGACACGGUCCAGACUCCUACGGGAGGCAGCAGUGGGGAAUUUUGGACAAUGGACGAAAGUCUGAUCCAGCAAUGCCGCGUGCAGGACGAAGGCCUUCGGGUUGUAAACUGCUUUUGUACGGAACGAAACGGUCUGCUUUAAUACAGUGGGCUAAUGACGGUACCGUAAGAAUAAGCACCGGCUAACUACGUGCCAGCAGCCGCGGUAAUACGUAGGGUGCGAGCGUUAAUCGGAAUUACUGGGCGUAAAGCGUGCGCAGGCGGUUAUAUAAGACAGAUGUGAAAUCCCCGGGCUCAACCUGGGACCUGCAUUUGUGACUGUAUAGCUAGAGUACGGUAGAGGGGGAUGGAAUUCCGCGUGUAGCAGUGAAAUGCGUAGAUAUGCGGAGGAGCACCGAUGGCGAAGGCAAUCCCCUGGACCUGUACUGACGCUCAUGCACGAAAGCGUGGGGAGCAAACAGGAUUAGAUACCCUGGUAGUCCACGCCCUAAACGAUGUCAACUGGUUGUUGGGUCUUCACUGACUCAGUAACGAAGCUAACGCGUGAAGUUGACCGCCUGGGGAGUACGGCCGCAAGGUUG